UCAACCUGGUUGAUCCUGCCAGUAUUCAUAUGCUUGUCCUAAAGAUUAAGCCAUGCAUGUCCAAGUAUAAACCUUUAUACGGUGAAACUGCGAAAGGCUCAUUAUAUCAGUUAUAAUUUACAUGAUGAUGACGAUUACAUGGAUAACCGUGGUAAUUCUAGAGCUAAUACAUGCAAAAAAUUCUGUAAAGGGAU
rnacentral:rRNA from 1 species